AUCAUUUAGCCAUUCAUCUCCCAUAAUUUCGCAUCCGAUUCUUGAUGAUCUUCAUAGCGGAGAACGCUCUUUCAAUUGUUGCGAUUGCUACAGGUAGUAUCAAAGUGAGCAAAUAUACCAUCAGAUAUACAAUAUGCUUCCUACUAUCCACAAGCUCUGUAGUAAGAGCACUAAUUCCUCUCAAUCCUGAAAGUGCAUUAUCAGAGCAUACAUCCAUGAAGUCAAGGGCGGACCCACUUCAGAUUGAGGGGGUUCAGAUGAACUCCUUGAAAAAAAAAAUUACACUUACCCUCCUAUAUAAUUUUUUUUGAACCCCCUGAAAUUUUAAAUACAACUAGUAUACCAAGUAUUGCACCAAAGACCCACACUCACUUACUCCUCUCACUCUCUUUCUCUCUCUCAUACACGCGCACUCUACUCUGCCACUCACCCUCUUUCUCUCUCGCUACCCUAGAUCCCAAGCACGCACGCACCCACCACCACCAGGCCACGGCACCACUAGUCCACCACGCACCACCUGCGGCCUGUGCCACUCAGGCCCAGCCCAGCCACGCCUCUCUAUCUCACGGCUUAUCCUUCUCCCAAGGCCAAGACAGCAAGAUCACGCCACGCACCAGUCACCACCCACACGCGCCUCUCUUUCUCUUUCAAUGGGUUACUGCCACUGGGUAAGGUAAAGUAUUAUGGGCCACCAAAAUUCUACUUUUAGAUUUCAACUGAAAGAGAUUUCAAUUUGCUUUUAGUGUUCAAUUUGCACAGCCACAACAGAGAAUUCAGGUAUUCCCUCAUGUAUAUGCUUAAUAUUAUUUGUGCUACUAGCCUACUACUACUUUUAUUACUAUUUUUAAUUUACUGAUUCUUGUUUCUGUUGAGAGUUUUGUAUUCUGUAAUUUCAUAAACCCCGAGUCAUGGGGAUAAAUAAAGGACUGGGUAAGUUUGUCAAUAUCCAUUUAGUGUGCACUAGUGCACCAAAUGGCAAUACGUGUAAACUUGUAUAGGGCACAUUGUAAAGAAGAUAAAUUUUAUAUUCUAUUUCAAUUGAUUGA